AUACGGGGGGGACGAGCGUUGUUCGGAUUUACUGGGCGUAAAGGGCGCGUAGGCGGGCCAACAAGUCGGGUGUGAAAACUGGUGGCUCAACUGCCAGCCUGCAUUCGAUACUGUUGGUCUCGAGUACAGGAGAGGAGAGUGGAAUUCCAGGUGUAGCGGUGAAAUGCGUAGAUAUCUGGAAGAACACCGGUGGCGAAGGCGGCUCUCUGGACUGAUACUGACGCUAAAGCGCGAAGGCUUGGGUAGCAAACAGGAUUAGAAACCCGAGUAGUCC
rnacentral:rRNA from 1 species